AGGCUUAACACAUGCAAAGUCGAGGGGGCAGCGCGGGGGCGGCAACGUCCUGGCGGGCGACCGGGCGGAAGGGUGCGUAACGCGUGAGCGACAUGCCCGUUGCCCGGGGGACAACCGGUGGAAACGCCGACUAAUCCCCGAUGGGGACGGAGGCCCUCAUGGGGUCUCUGUUGAAAGUUACGGCGGCGACGGAUUGGCUCGCGUCCGAUUAGCUAGUUGGCGGGGUAACGGCCCACCAAGGCUACGAUCGGUAGGGGUUCUGAGAGGAAGGUCCCCCACAAUGGAACUGAGACACGGUCCAUACUCC
rnacentral:rRNA from 1 species